rnacentral:rRNA from 1 species
GAUGAACGCUAGCGGGAGGCCUAACACAUGCAAGCCGAGCGGUAGAGUUUCUUCGGAAACUUGAGAGCGGCGCACGGGUGCGUAACACGUGUGCAACCUUCCUUUAUCUGGGGGAUAGCCUUUCGAAAGGAAGAUUAAUACCCCAUAAUAUAAUGAUUGGCAUCAAUUAUUAUUGAAAACUCCGGUGGAUAGAGAUGGGCACGCGCAAGAUUAGAUAGUUGGUGAGGUAACGGCUCACCAAGUCAAUGAUCUUUAGGGGUCCUGAGAGGGAGAUCCCCCACACUGGUACUGAGACACGGACCAGACUCCUACGGGAGGCAGCAGUGAGGAAUAGUGGACAAUGGGUGAGAGCCUGAUCCAGCCAUCCCGCGUGAAGGAUGACGGUCCUAUGGAUUGUAAACUUCUUUUGUACAGGGAUAAACCUACCCUCGUGAGGGUAGCUGAAGGUACUGUACGAAUAAGCACCGGCUAACUCCGUG